AUUGAACGCUGCCGGCAUGCCUUACACAUGCAAGUCGAAAGGUCACAGAUCUUCGGAAGCUGACGAGUGGCAGACGGGAGAGUAAUACAUCGGCACGAGCCUAGUAGUGGGGGAUAACUACUCGAAAGAGUGGCUAAUAUAGCAUGAGAUUUAGAGAUGAAAGCAGAGGAGAGCAAGACCAUUGGCAGCAAGAGCGGCCGAUGGCAGAUUAAGUAGGUGGUGGGAUAAAAGCUUACCAAGCCGACGAUCUGUAGCUGGCAUGAGAGGACGAUCAGCCAGACUGGGACUGAGACACGGCCCAGACUCAUCCGGGAGGCAGCAGUGGGGAAUUUUGGACAAUGUGCGCAAGCCUGAUCCAGCAAUGCCGCGUGCAGGAAGAAGGCCUUCGGGUUGUAAACUGCUUUUGUACGGAACGAAAAGCCCUGGGUUAAUACCCUGGGGUCAUGACGGUACCGUAAGAAUAAGCACCGGCUAACUACGUGCCAGCAGCCGCCGUAAUAC
rnacentral:rRNA from 1 species